CCAACCCAGCCCCCCACCCUUGCUCCUGUUGCCCAGCCACCAACCACAUCCACCUGCUACCUCCAAAGCUCCCUCUCCGUGUAGGCUUGCAGAGCGGACAGCCUGUGUCCGAGGAGACGAGCACACCGUGCUGCAGUGCAGAGAAUGAGAGCGAGCUCCUUGCAUUAGGAGUGAAACGGCGGUGGACGAUUUAGGGGUCUCUUCACUUUAUGCACAGCAUCCUCAGUCCUGUGGUCCUCAACUUACAGGGAGCAUUCCUUCUCAUCUGGUGCAGAAAAAUUAUGUGACACCGAGAGGAGAGAAAUCUAAAUGCAGAAAGCAAUGAAGAUUAAAACUAAACAGAAUGAAACUGUAAUCCUGCCUUCUUGUUCUGCAUGUGUGACUGAAGAAGCGUCUUCUCUGCCCAGCUCCAGAAAUCGCUGAGCUGUGUUGUUGCUCUCACAGCCUCCUCCCCCCUCUGUUCCCUCAUUCUCCUCCCCAACAGCAGACUCCUGCGCCUUUAAAAAGACAAGCACCUCUUUUCCCUCCUCGUCUGCUAAUGUGACUAUGCAGGGGAGCCAAACAAUGGAUAGACCCUGAAACCACUGUGAUUAAGUGUCCGUUUCUCCUACGCCGUCAGUUUCUCUUUUCCACCAUCCCACAAUAAGCAUACCGCGCCAAAUUAGCAUCAUGCCAGAAUCUCACCCUCUUAGCCUGCGACCUGCAUAGAAGAAAAAAAAAAUUACAUAUUGUGUCUCCUUUUCACACAAUGGAAGGAUCCAACACAGUCUAGCCAACCAGGGAGAUGUCUGAGGUAAACAAUAGAGGGUAUGAAACCAGUGUAUCAGACUCUUUUUUUCUCUAUAAGUCUAUAAUGUUAGCAGCAGUUCUUUACAAACACUUAACAAUACAAAUGCAUUUGAUUCCAGUUACAGAAUGCUAUUAGAUGUAGGAAAAGAAGGACACUAUAAAAUCCGGUGGUACAAAUGCCCAUUUUCUACUUUUAUCUUUUGUUGAAGAAUCAGAAUUCAGGGAAGGUGACAAAUUUGUUCGCACAAAAAUGUGCAAAAAGCCUUAAAAUAAAUUCAUAUUUUAUUGCAGUUGGAUAAUCUCAAACUGAACAUUUAGAAAAAUCUUACCUUCCAUUAGAUUACAUUUAUAAAGUAAGGAAGAAAAUUCUACAUUUAUAAAACAUUAUUGGUAAAACCACCAGUGACAAUCUUUUAUACACAAUUCUGCCAAUAGUCUUCUACUUUUUCAUAGUUAAAGCAUAAAGGAAGAAUCUUUAACAAUUCCUCUUUGCACAAUUUCUCUAGAGUCCCAAGUCCUCUCUUCAGCUCAGGUCACAGGUUUUCUGCACGAUUUAUGUGUAUCAACUAUAAUGGCCAUGGAAGAAGGCUGGUUUUAAAUGCCUUGACCGAGUGUGCCGAUGGUCUGAGUUGAUCAGAUCAUUUGUCUGUCUCAUUAUGCUGCUGAAAGACCCAAUGCCAACCCAUUUUAAAUUUUCUAAUUCCAACAGAUUUUUAAGUGUCCUUGUACUUAUAAACGUUCAUGAUGCAGUGUACUUUAACACGUUUCCCAGAGUGUUCAGAGGAGAAACAGUCCCACAGCAUCAGAGAUCCUCCACCGUACUUAACAGAGAACAUGAUGGUCAAAACGGCCUGCACAUGUAUAGCACUUUUUCAAGUCAGAGGACCCCGAAGCGCUUAACACUACAAUAAUUCAUCCACCCAUGAGGUUUGGCUCUAACUAAACCUUUGGUUGAAACCAAAGUGAUCAAGUCAUCUGUGUGUGACAGAUGCAAAAACGUGUCUCGUGAGCUUUGGAUAGGGUAGCAGGAUCAGUUUCAUUAAAUUCCCCACUGAUUUCAUCUAUAAUAAGGAAAAUGAGGUUAAGCAACAUGAGAAGAAUACAUCUGUUCAUGGGAAAGUGUGGGAAUAAGGACUCUCUAUGACAACUUGAGCCUGCAGACACACAAACUUCCUGUAGUGAGGAACCUGCAUCUGUCAGGGCAAAAAAGAUUGAUUGUUGCUCUACACAACCUGAAGCACAAACCCAGGUAUGAACAUCGAGCUCAUAAACCAAAAUAUCCUGUACAAGUGUAGCCCAGUUAGUCUCGAAGCACAGACCCAGAUAAAAAAAAAAAUCAUUGAUUUCUGCUUCCGUUUAUACUGCCGACCCCCACAGCGGCUCAAAGAUGUAUGUAGGACACAGAAGCUUGUCCAAUAUUUGUUCCAAUAACUUACAGAUGGAAUUAAAUGGCUGUUCUUCAACAGUAUAGCAUUGCCAGUCAGCUUCAGCUGCAGAGCAAAAAGAAAAAAUUUUUUUUAUCUAACCCAGGCACUGGAAAUAAGGCUGUGACAGUUUUUCUGAAAGAUUUAUAACUGCACUGAGUAAGAUUCAGGGUCAACCAAAUAUGCAUGCAUACAGCCUGUUUAAGAGUUAUACUUCUGUGCAAUACAUACAACUCCACAAAAGACACUUUGUUUUAAGGGUAAGUUUUAGUUUAAGGGUAAGUUUUAUUCUUUACUGAUGGAGUAAGGUAUCUCCCUAAGGGAGUUUGCUUCUUUCAUGACCAAUCAUGGUAGUUGAACAACCAAAGUCAAAACCCAGUACUGCUGUUGACAUCUGGCAGUCUCACAGAUAUUUCUUCUAUGUGCUCAAACAAGUAAAGCAGUGCAGUGACAUUCGUUACACUGCUUUUAUAGAACCGGACACAUUCUUGUUUACGGGAUUCUGCAUUAUUUUCAUUUAAAAAUUCUAGACCAAUUCCAGGCACAAAUCUUAAUUUUCUAAGUGAAUAUGCAAGCCAUAUUAGACUACCAACAUACACUCACCAGCAACUUAAUUAGGGACACCUAGCUUGUACUGAGUUGGAGUCCCUCUUACUUUCAGACCUGCAAUUCUUGGUGGCAUUGAUUAAACACAGCAUCAACAUUCAACAACAUUCUUAAUGAUCUGUGUCCAUAUUGACAUUAGGACAUCACACAGUUGCUACAGAUUUGUUGGCUGUAUAUCCAAGACACAAGUCUCUUGUUUCAAUGCAUCCCAAAGGUGCUCUAUUGGAUUUAGAUCUGGUGACUUCCUAGAUCAUUGGAGUACAGGGAAAGUAGAAGAACCAGUCUGAAAUGAUCUGAGCUUUGUUACAUGGUGAAUUAUCCUGCCUCAGUUUCAUGUUCCAAGCUGACAGGAGUGACAUUUAUAAGCAGAAUUAAUCAAAAUAGGGGUGCCACUGGAGCCACCUCAAGCAUUCAGCAUGCUGAGCUGAGUGAAUCUUCAUCAGCCCAGACAGAGUAUCUGCAUAGUGCAGCAUACGCUCAAGUAUUAUCAGACCAUUGCAACAUUUGAGUAGCAAAUAUGUUAACUCCAUAGCAGUGGUGCAUGUGUGCAACAUACAGCAUCCCUAAGUCAACCAUGCCACGAAUUGCUUUGACAUGUUCAAAACAUCUAUGCCAGUCUGGCUUAACUGGAGAUCCCUUAAGGUUUACUACAGUUUCGGAUUCUGAAACUGCAGCCAGCAUACGCUUUAGUAGUUGAAAA